rnacentral:rRNA from 1 species
AGUGAACGCUGGCGGUAGGCCUAACACAUGCAAGUCGAACGGCAGCACAGUAAGAGCUUGCUCUUACGGGUGGCGAGUGGCGGACGGGUGAGGAAUACAUCGGAAUCUACUUUUUCGUGGGGGAUAACGUAGGGAAACUUACGCUAAUACCGCAUACGACCUACGGGUGAAAGCAGGGGAUCUUCGGACCUUGCGCGAUUGAAUGAGCUGAUGUCGGAUUAGCUAGUUGGCGGGGUAAAGGCCCACCAAGGCGACGAUCCGUAGCUGGUCUGAGAGGAUGAGCAGCGAGACUGGAGGUGAGAGGCGGUCCAGAGUCGGACGGGAGGGAGCAGUGGGGAGUGGGGGGCAAGGGGGGGGAGCGUGGGGCAGGGGGGGGGCGUGGGGGGGGAGGGCGUUGGGGUGGGAGAGCCGUGUUGUUGGGAAAGAAAAGCAGCAGGUUAAUACCCCGCUGUUCUGACGGUACCCAAAGAAUAAGCACCGGCUAACUUCGUG